rnacentral:sRNA from 1 species
UGGGAGGAUUGGUUGAGCCCAGGAAGUCCAGGCUGCAGUGAGCUAUGAUGGUACCACUGCACUCCAGCCUGGGCAACAGCGUGAGAUCCCCUCUCAAAAAAAAAAUUAUGAAAAUUUUAUCUGAUUGCUGCUGUUCUUUCUUUCUUUCUUUUUUAAAAUUAUGGUCAGGUACUUACAAUUUCAUCAGAAAUUCCUAAAAGAAUUCGAAGUGCCUUAAAAAAUGCAGAAGAAUCAAAGCAAUUUCUUAAUCAGUUUCUGGAGCGGGAAACUCAUCUCUUCAGCGCCAUUAACAGCCAUUUGCUGACUGCGCAACCUUGGAUGGACGAUCUUGGAGCCAUGAUUAGCCAGAUUGAAGAGAUCGAACGUCAUCUUGCUUACCUUAAAUGGAUUUCACAAAUUGAAGAACUAAGUGAUAACAUUCAGCAAUAUCUGAUGACCAAUAAUGUACCGGAGGCAGCCUCCACUCUAGUGUCUAUGGCAGAACUUGACAUCAAACU